rnacentral:rRNA from 1 species
GUCCACGCUGUAAACGAUGAUUACUAGGUGUGGGGUCUGACCCUUCCGUGCCGGAGUUAACACAAUAAGUAAUCCACCUGGGAGUACGGCCGCAAGGUUGAAACUCAAAGGAAUUGACGGGCCCGCACAAGCAGUGGAGUAUGUGGUUUAAUUCGAAGCAACGCGAAGAACCUUACCAGGUCUUGACAUCCAACUAACGAAGUAGAGAUACAUUUAGGUGCCCUUCGGGGAAAGUUGAGACAGGUGGUGCAUGGUUGUCGU